UAACUUAAAGACUCUGACAAUGAAACAGUUCAGUUUCUUUUGCAGAAAGAGAGCUAACAGCACAAAGGGGAACAGUAAUUCACUGCCAAAGUACAUCGACCAAUUCAGCAUAUCCUAAAAAUAAUCUAUACGAUUCUCCCUGUGGUUGGUGUUUCAGCUUAGAUCUGAGAGUUUGUUGUUCAUGAAGUUAUACAUAAUAUUACACUAGGCGCUCAAUGAAUGUCUGGUACUGAGGAUGUUGAGUGCAGCACAAAGUCCCAGUUCUGGAAAUAGGAGCGAAGGACUCCAUUAGUCAUCGCAAAGAUAUCAACUCCCAGCACAAGGAGAUCUCCGAAACAAAAGUAGAAAAUGCUGCAGAUAUUCAUCAGGUCUGGCAUCAUCUGGAGAGCGAGAAACAGAAUUAACAUUGAGACAAAACAAAAACCGAAUGAACUAUGGAUGCUGGAAAUCAGUUCCAUACUGCCUGAGAUUACCAUGAGGGUCCCACCUUCGCAACCUUGCCCUUCCCCUGAGGGGACACAACACCGAGAGGAUGGUAGGGGUCAGCACUAUUUUGCCUGGGAGGGUAACUGUUACGGACCAUGCCAGACCUCAAAACAUUUUGAGAAGGUAGCCUAGACCCUAACUUUUGUUUUAAUUUUAAAGGCAGAUGUGAAGUGGGUGCUCCAGGUGUGAUGUCAUUGGUCAAAUUAUUUGGUUUGAGCAAAACAGAAUGUAUGUAAACACUGCAGCUGAGACACGAACAAAUGAAAGCAGAAUUUCAAAAACAUAACUAUUGGAAAGCUUAAGUGACCUGAUACAGUAACUAUUACUAAUUACCUGUUCCAAUACAGGAACAUCACAUAAAUACACUCCGGGGAAAUAAAGGUUAAUUCAAAAAGAUUCGAACAGGAAGGAGGGAAUAACAUCCAGAAAGUGGUUUCAGAGUAAGUCCGAGGAUUGUUUUACUGAAACAUGCCACUCUCCUGGAAUCACACAUCUUGUGACUGCUACAGUUAAUUUAAAACUAGAAAAUUGCUGAACUGAGAAAACUGGCCACUCCCCUUCCAUUGUUAAACUAAACCUCUUCAGAACCUCUGUCUUUAUGACCUCUCUUCUCAAAAAACAUGACAGCAUCAUAAUAGUAACUAAGGUGGGAAAACUCAAAACCUUUAAGAUGCACUUGGAUGAACACUGAAAAUUCAAGACAAAAUGUUGGGAAGUGAGAUUUGUUGUAGCUUUUUUGUGUAAUUUUACAAGCUGAGUGGAUCUAUGGGCCAGCUCUGUUCUGUAUGAUGCAAUCAUUCUAUGAUCCUGAGAUUAAUGUUCUGAAUUCUUUUUUUGUCUUCGAUUUGAGGAAAUGUGAUCCGGUGUUCACUCCUGUUAUUGGUGUGGUCAGUAAAGCUUCACGCUCUGUAUCAGAGUGCUUAUUCACCAUAGGAUUUCCCAAAUGAGAUGUAAAGCUGAAAUAACGAGGAAAGCAAUGCUAUAACAGUGCAACAAUUCUCAAGGAGCUCUACACCAUGAGGUAUUGAGUGGCUGAAUAGCCUCAGCAAAAUGAAGGUCAUCAUUGAAAAGAAUAUCAAAUAAAUUAGAUAUUCAUUGAGCUGAUAGCACAUGAAAUGAUGCAAGUCUUGUCGUUUUAAGACAAAUUGCAAUUAAUGUUUUAGACCUCCAUAGGAUCCAGUCUUUGGAGUAUUCAAUCACAGACAUAAAUCUCAAUGACAUCAUGUCAUUAAAAUAAACCUGUUCUCAUAACCAGGUGUACUCAAAGUUUCCCCUUCGGAGAUACCAUCCAAUAUAAAGUCCAAUUCCUCUAAUUUUCUGAUUCCAACAAUUUGCCAGUAGCAGGAAGGGAAGGUUGUUUCACAAAGUACAAAAUGUAUCCUGUAAGACAAGUAAUUGAAAAAAUAUACUAUACCAUUCUUGCCAUUGUUGGCAUUCCUGAUGAAAACUACGUAUUGCACAGAGAAAACUGCAACGAGAGUUCUAGCAACAAUGUGCAUUUUUUUUUUCUUUGAAGAACAUUCCCAACUAUUUUCGAUAUGAACCUCUAACAAUCAUCAACAAUGUUCCAUGGUAUUGUUAUUCCAGCUACAGUUAUUAUAAUGACCCUCGGUGGACAAGUUUUAAAUACUUUGAAUACUUUUUAACACCAUUGUUCCCAUUCACUUUUAUUCUUUUUAUUAACAUGUUGACUGUCAGACAUAUCCUUGAGGCCAUUAAAGUACGUAAGGAACUGAGGGGUCAAAGAAAAACAGAGAAUGAACCAGAGGUAGACAACAGACGCAAUUCUGUCUUUUUACUCUUUGCGAUAUCCGCCAGUUUUAUCCUUCUCUGGUCGGUGUAUGUUACAUAUGCAUUUAAUGCUGGCUUUUCCUUGAACUGGGAUGAUUUUUAUCUCUUUGAACAAUUUUCAUAUAUGCUGCGGAGCUUAAGCUGCUGCACAAAUGCAUGUAUUUAUGUGAUGAUGCAGAAAAAAUUCAGAGAGCAAUUUAAAGUAUGUCAUGAAUUAUCCAGUGAUUAAAAAUAAUUCAAUUGAUGAAUGAAUCCAAGUAACUGAGAGCCGAUAAUGGAGCAAGGAGUCAACGUGAGGAAGGGACCGAAAAGAGGAAAAGGAUAGGCAACAUGAUAACACUCCUUUUCGAAUGGGCAAGGAAUAACCUGAAGAUGCAACAAGAAAAAGACUGAGUGCAAAGUGCUGUUAGCAAUGAGCAACAGUUCGAAGAAAGUUGAACAAAAAAAAUAACCGAAAGAGAAAUUAGAUGAGCCUGAGAAAAGAAAUUCAUUCCAAAUAAUUUCUUCUCAGACAAUGAACCAAUACCAAACAAAAAUCUGAAGGAAAGUCUCAUCAUUCACUGCAUGCUAAUGUGGGAACAGCAACGAUAGGCUCCUGUGAACUCCUGCUCAUGGAAUUCUCCGAUACACUCAUCUGGACACAAUUUAAAAUUGAGAAGUUUCCUAUUUUAAAGAUUAAAUAACAUACUGUGAAAGAAAUCUGUGUACUUUGGUUAUAAGCGUUUUUUCAGCAAGACUGUGUGUUUCCAUUCAGUUCUCCCGGCCUGAUGCUGAUAUCACUUCCCUUUGUCAUUCAUUUCUUUCCACGAAUCAGCUGCUGUGUUGAUCGGGAGAAUACAAGCUCCAAUCAGAAAGCGUAGUGACAGAUAAGAUCCCAUGCUCGGGAAUGGGGUCGGAUAUCGUGGACGAGCCAACGUCCUCAGUGCUUCCAUGGAAAUGUUUUGUGGCUCUCCAGUGAGCUCGAUGGAGUCAAUGAGAACUUCUCUGAUUUCUGUUUGCAUGUGGCUUCCGAAUUGAGCCUGAGAUCAAUUCAAACACAUGUCCGCAUCGUCACCAAGAGUCAUUGUUUCCAUCUGUGAAAUGGCCCCUACAUCCAUCCCUGCCUCAGCUCUUAUUUGGUAAAUCAAUCAUUCAUUCCAUUGUGACCUCGGGGACCCUCAUAUCCAGCACCAUUUCGCUCUGAAAGCAGAUUAUUAACUCCACACAUUUGUUUUAUCCAGAUUUCUUCCUCUAUUCUGAUUUGCUUUCACAACAAAUCCUAUUUCCUCAUCAUCCAGUUAACGUAAAAACCGACACAGGCAU